ACAUUAGGCCUCCUUUUAUAAGGGAAAAAUUCCAACAAUUUUUCCCCCCAACAGAUGUGGGAGUUUGACAACUUCAACAGCUUCAAGAACCAUGUUUGUGCAAAUGAUGUCAAUAGUAGAAUGAGAAUUUACUUUGGCUUAUUUGUCAAAAUUUAGGGAAGAAUCGGUUGUCCUGGAAUUCCCAGAAAUGACAAGCUCAACAAGGCGAGACCACUGGCUUGCUCUAAUAAAGGAGGUUAUAUUUUUACAUCGGUUUUUACGGAAGUUUAAGGUUGAUUCACCUUCAGGAUCACGGGAGAUGCACGCAAGAACAGUACUAGGGAUUAUAAGGCUUCAUGCAGCUAGAGAAAUGCUUAGGAUCUCGCCACCCGUUCCCAAGAAUUUUUUAAUUUUUGAUUUGCUCGAUGAGUUGCCAAAGGGAGACUAUGUGCUUGAAGAGCUUGCCGCGAGUUUGAAGAAAGCUGACACUGGACACUCAUGUAGUGCUAGCUCAAUCUUGAGAAGCCUGAAUAUCUCCCUGUCACUGGUUCCAAGUGAAGCGGCAAAAGAAAUCGACGACAACAGCCGCCUCCCAGUCCAAAAUGACAGCGUCUCAUCAUUGGAGAGUGCUAUUGAUCAAGCAAGAGAGGAAGCAAAGGAAAUUGAAAAGGCCAAAGCUACUGUUGAGGAGCUCAAAGGGGAAGGAAUGGGGAACAGUGUCCAGGUUCUUAUGGGUCUUCUCAAACCAUUUGGGAGGUUAGUUCCUUAUCUUCAAGAGGUGUUUUCAUGGGAGAGACCAUUAUGUAGUUCCAUUGCUAUGUUGACUGCGCUUCUAGUUAUUUACACAGAGUGUGUUGGCAAAGCAAUAGCAGCUCUCUUAUUGGGGACGGUUGGUACAAUGCUAUGGGCAAGACAAAGAAGGAUAGUAGAAAAGGCGAAUAAAAUAGUUAUCUAUACUGGAUCUGAUCAGACAACGAUGGAAAGCAUAGUGUCAGCACAACACGGACUAAGAAAUGUCUAUGACUUGGUUCAGAGCAUGAACGUAAUACUACUGAAAAUCUGGUCCAUAUUGGUUUCAAAGGCUCCAAAGCAUGCAGAUUUGGUAAUGGUGGCAAUGGUUGGUGCAGCUGUAAUAUUAGCGGUGGUUCCUUUCAAGUUUAUCCUUAUGGCUUUGACAUUGUGCCUCUUUGUGGCGACAUCAAAGAUUGGGAAAUACAUGCAAGAUGAGAAAGUAGAUCGGAGAUUAAAGGAGUGGUGGGACUCUAUACCCAUCGUGCCAGUUGAAUUUGUGGAAAAGUUACCUGAUUCAUAAUAUUGGAGGGAUUCCAUAGUCGGGGUAUAUCCCUUCCCUUUCAUUUAAGUUUAUAUCAGGGAACAGUGAAGACAAUCCAAUGAUCAGGCACAAAAAUUGGAACGACUUGUCAGGAAAGUUAAAUAUAAUACUACUACAGUUUACACACACCUCGUGUAUAAAGUCAGAAAUACGGUGAAAUUUGAUACCUCCAUGUUUGAAAUUUGACACAAGCCAACCCUUCCCUCUCUCUAAUGUUUCCUUUGAUCUACGAGAAUGAGAUUACAUAGACAGUGUUGGUAAAAGGAACUCUCUUACAGUUGUAGAGUACAUUUGUGACUGCAAGAAGAUUGAGGUUGAAUGAUUAUUUAGCGCUCCCUGCACCCUUUGUAGAACUUUAAUUGAUUUAUUUUACUUUUAUGGAUGUAAUCUGAAAGCAGUGAGCAGAGUUCACUAUGCUUAAAUCACAGACUCUGAAAUUAUUUCUUGUGUCUGUAUAAUAUAUAGUUUUCAAGUUA